rnacentral:rRNA from 1 species
CCUACGGGAGGCAGCAGUGAGGAAUAUUUGUCAAUGGACGAGCGUCUGAACCAGCCAAGUAGCGUGAAGGAUGACUGCCCUAUGGGUUGUAAACUUCUUUUAUAUGGGAAUAAAAUGUUCCACGUGUGGGAUUUUGUAUGUACCAUAUGAAUAAGGAUCGGCUAACUCCGUGCCAGCAGCCGCGGUAAUACGGAGGAUCCGAGCGUUAUCCGGAUUUAUUGGGUUUAAAGGGAGCGUAGGUGGAUUGUUAAGUCAGUUGUGAAAGGUUGCGGCUCAACCGUAAAAUUGCAGUUGAAACUGGCAGUCUUGAGUACAGUAGAGGUGGGCGGAAUUCGUGGUGUAGCGGUGAAAUGCUUAGAUAUCACGAAGAACUCCGAUUGCGAAGGCAGCUCACUGGACUGCAACUGACACUGAGGCUCGAAAGUGUGGGUAUCAAACAGGAUUAGAUACCCCGGUAGUC